rnacentral:rRNA from 1 species
AGAGCGAACGCUGGCGGCAAGCUUAACACAUGCAAGUCGAACGGAUGUAGCAAUACAUUAGUGGCGGACGGGUGCGUAACACGUGGGAAUCUACCUUUAGGUAAGGAAUAACUCAGGGAAACUUGUGCCAAAACCUUAUAAUGUCUUCGGACCAAAUAUUUAUAGCCUAAAGAUGAGCCCGCGGUAGAUUAGCUAGUUGGUGGGGUAAUGGCCUACCAAGGCAACGAUCUAUAGCUGGUCUUAGAGGAUGAUCAGCCACACUGGGACUGAGACACGGCCCAGACUCCUACGGGAGGCAGCAGUGGGGAAUAUUGGGCAAUGGACGAAAGUCUGACCCAGCUAUGCCGCGUGAAUGAUGAAGGCCUUAGGGUUGUAAAGUUCUUUACCGGGGAAGAUAAUGACGGUACCCGGAGAAAAAGACUCCGGCUAACUUCGCGCCAGCAGCCGC